UACAGAGGAGCCAAGCGUUGUCCGGAUUGACUGGGCGUAAAGCGCACGCAGGCGGUUUUGCGCGUGGGGUGUGAAAUCUGGCCGCUUAACGGCCAGGCGCCAUCCCAUACGGCGCGACUGGAGUGAUGCAGAGGUCGAUGGAAUUGCCGGUGUAGUGGUGAAAUGCGCAGAUAUCAGGAGGAACACCGGUGGCGAAGGCGGGUCUCUGGGCAACUACUGACGCUGAGGAGCGAAAGCGUGGGGAGCGAACAGG
rnacentral:rRNA from 1 species